CAUUGGCAGCAUGCUCCUCCUCUCUGAACUGAACGUACACAUUCCCCACCUGAAAACGACAGCGUUCAAUUCUAACAAAAAUGGACAAAGCGAGGGGUUGGGAUUAGGGUUAGGGUGAGGGCACAUACCAUGUGAUCGGCGAGGUUGUCGCAGACAUUGAGGCUUUCGAUUUCGCCGUACUUGGAGAGCUCCUCGAAGAGAUCCUCAUAGAACUCCUGAAAGUGGUCCUGGAUCUUGCGAGGGUCGAUGGGGUGGCCGUGGGCGUCGACGCCGGGGGUUAUCAUGUCGGGGCGCUGGUACAUGUUGGCGAGCAGAAUGGUGGGGCUUAUGCUGGGCUUCGUGUGGAGGCGAGAGCAGCGAUCUCCGUGCCUACACGCGCCGAUCUUGAAGUAGAACGGGCAAUUCACCCUGUCCUUCUCCGUCCCGAAUAUCGAUGCCAGAUGCUCCGCCAUUGCCGCAACCACACGGUUCAGAUGCCGUUUUACUUCUUCUCUUUGUUGCUGCCUAGGGUUUCAGAAAUUGGGGAUUUGUAGUAAUGGGUAGAAGGCUUAUAGAAGAAUCUUUCUAGAUACUUCUUUAAAUUUAAUUUCGAAUAAAAGUGAAGGUUGUGUUUGGGUGUCCUUCCAGUCAAUUCAAAUACAUGAUAAUUUCCAACUACAAUUCUCUCUUCUGUAUUCUUAGUAUCUUAUAUUUUCAGUUUCAUGUGCUUUUUAUGUGUUUAUAUUACCAUAGCAAGUACUGGUAUAAUCAUUGUUAAAUUAUUUUUCAGUAAGAAUGAAUAAUAAUGAAUUCACCAUAUUACCUAUUGAAAAAAAAAGUAUACUAAUAAUACUAAUAGUUAAUAAUAAUAUUGAAAUAACAUAUCCAAAUUUAUAAAAUAAUAUAUAUAUAUAUAUUAAAUAAGAUAUAUCAUUCAAAUAUUUUAUUAUACACAUUUGAUUUUAAGCAUAAUCAAAUAUUUAAAUAUCAAGAAUUUCGUCACACAAAUUCUAAAAGACAAAUGAAUUCAGAAAUUCAUCUUACGAACUCUAAAAAACAAAUAUAUUAAAAUAUUCAUUUGACACACUUUGUUUAACAAAUUCUAAAGGACAAAAAAACUAAAUGUUUCGUUUAACACAACACGCUUCGUGUCAACAUUACCAUGAUGUUCUUCAUUUUUAGAAUCGAUCUCAACUUCUCAUGUUAUCAUAAGUCUUCUCAUAUUAUCAUAAGUUAUGUUAUUAUCUUUUUCGAGUGUAGUCUCUUUCACGUUGUUAAUAUCUUCAAUGGUGUGGUCCUUUAUGAAGUGCACACCAGGAUUUUUGAUUAGCUUCUUUUCAAUAGGAUCAUACAAUUUGUAGUCAAAUUCAUCAUAACCAUAACCAAUACAAAUAUACUAUCUUGUUUGUGCAUCUAACUUUGAUCUUUUAUCCUUUGAACAUAAACAAAUGUCUUGCAAUCAAAGAUACGCAAAUGAUCAUAGCUAACAUUCUUGUCAAACCAAAUUUUGUCUAACACCUCAGUAUUCAAUGCAACUGGAGGGCUAAUAUUAAUAACAUGCACAACUACAAACAAUGCCUCUCCCCAAAAAAAUUUAGACAACUUAUUUUUCAGAUUGCAUACAUCUAACUCUUUCAACCAAGGUGAUGUUGAUCCUCUCUGCUAGGCCAUUCAAUUGAGGAAUUUUAGGAGGAGUCUUUUCAUGUCAAAUACCAUACUACUUGCAAUAAAAAUCAAAUGAUUCACAAUGCCCACCACCAUUAUCAUCACAAAUAUAUUUAAACUUUUGGCCUAAUUGUCUUUAACCCAAUGCAUGAAAUUCUUGAAUUUUUGAACUACUUGAUUUUUUCUCUAUUGUAGUAUAUACAUCCAUAGCUUCCUGAAACAAUUAUCAAUCAAUAAAAGUAACAAAGUAAAGUGCACACCACUAAACAAAUUUACCCUCAAUGGGUCACAAACACGAGAAUGCACUAAUUUAAAAAUAUCUGACUUCCUUGAGGAAGGAUGUUUCGUAAAGGAUACUUUAGUUUGUUUACUAGUUAUGCAAUGAAAACAUUUUUCCAACCAUACACUCUUCAAUCCUAAAAGCAACAUCCUUUUUAGCUAAGCAAUUAAACUUUUUUUUUCACUUAUAUGAUCAAACCUUCAUUGCCACAAGAAUAUCUUCAUACAUAUAUAUAUAUAUAUCAUUCACAUUGUCCUUAACAACCAAAACUUUAGUCCAAUGCAAUUUAUAAUUUUUUUUUUGAGAAAAAAAAUAUCUUUUAUAAAAUUACAUGCUUUUUUUUGUUAAACUAAAAUUUAUCACACCAAAACAUACCAAACUUAAAAUUGUUUUAAUACCACAACUUUUUAAAUUGUUUGUCUUAAUAUUCAAUAGUAAAUAUUAACAAUAGUUUAAAUUUUAAAUGACAUAUACACAACAAAGUAAACAAUCUAAAUAUAGUCUUAAUGUCUUAAUCUUUAACAAGUUCAAUUACAAAAUACACAAUAAAUUAGUUUUGUAAGGUGGAGUUUGUACACACUUAUAUACUAUAUUAACUAUAUUUUUAGUUAAUGUGAGAUCUCCAACAUAUCCCCUCACGUUGAAUAUUGGACAUCUUGAGUGUGGAACUAGGGAACCUGAUAACAAGUUACAUGAUAAGCCCAACACAUUUGACUAGGAUAGACUUUGAUAUUAUCCUAAGAAAGCGAAAUUUAAUUUUAACUCAACCUCACAAAAUCGGCUUGUAAGGUGAGGUUUGCAUACUAUAAUUUGUGGGAGGGAACUCGAUAUCGGGUGACUCAAUAGACCCAACAAACUUGACUAGGAAAGACUUCGAAUGACUGUGAUAUCAUCUUAAGAAAGUGAAAUUUAAGUCUAAUUCAAACUCACAAAGUUCACCCACUUAAAUAAUAUAAUAUGGUCAUAUCUUUAGUCGAUAUGAGAUCUCCAACACACAUCGUCACGUUGAGGUCUGCACAUCUCAAACACAGAACUAGAGAGAACCCAAUGUAAAAAUUAAGUUGAAAACACGAAAAGAUUAAUUUCUUGAGGCGUGAGUGAUCAUUGUCUGUAAUAACUUAUCUGCGGUGUAUUGUGCAAGUCUCUUAGGAUAUAUAAAAGGAACUUCUCAGAUAUCUUGAUGAUCAAAACUAGUAAGUAAACUAUUGUAGGGUAAGAACCCAAAACAUAAAAAAUAUUAGAAAGUAAAAUAAAGAAAGCAAGAAAUAAAAAGAAGAGAGGAAGCCUUGAGUGAGAUGAGAUGAAGAGACACAGGAGACCCCUUAUUUAGAGAGGGAGAAAAAAACAAUUGUCGUUGCUCCAUUUAUGAUUCAAGGGUUUCCAACAGCUCAACCUUCCAAGGAAAACGGGGAGGAGAUCCACUGAAAAACCCAUCCCUUAGCCGUGAAGAUCUCCAACAAAUUUGAAUCUGGAGAUGAGAUGUUACAACACAAGAUUUUCAUAACUUUCGCGGGAUUUCUGCAACAUCCAAGAUUCUCUCCAACGUCUCAUUUUGUAUCUUUGACAACAUCUUUGGCUGUUGCAAUAUCUUUUGUUUCUCGCAUUCGAUUUACAACACCCAAUAGUAAGUGACAUAAUUGGUCCAAUAAACUUAACUAGGAUGAACUAUGACAGGUUCUAAUACAUAUUAAAAAAUAAAAUUUAAAUAUAACUAAAUCUCACAAAUUCAAGUCGACUUAUAAUAUAAGAUUUACACUAUAUUAUAAUUUCAUCAUAUCUAGUUGAGAUCUUCAACCAUUUCUUUUAAACACUUUUUAGUUUUCUAUUUAGAUAUUUACGAUUAUAGAAAAAUGAAGAUCAAUUAUAUUUUUUUGGAACAGUUUGGUGAAGAAAAGUUAGCAAAACUAAGGAACAAGAAAUCAAAGAAAGCAAGGAUAUUUAUGCAAACCUCAUCUUAGCCAAACUUCUAUUUUGGCUUAGCCAAAUUUUAUACAAAAAUAAAACAUGAAAACGUGGAAAAAAUAUAUUUAACCCAACUAACUUGAUUUCUUCCUCAGCCAACACAACCUUUUUCUCUUGCGUAGUCAAUUAUAGACUAAAAACAACAUUCCUAAAGUAUUAGGUCUUACGUGGUGAGCUCUGUAGGUAGAUAACAUAAAUAAAUGUGUACAAAUCUCGUCUCAUGAUCAACUCAUGUUAUGAUUUUCCAUUUUGAAAUCUGGUAUUUGGAAGAACAUUUUGGAGGAAAACCAAAUAUGAAGAAAGAAAGAAUAGGUCAUUCAUACAUUAAAGAAUUUCCACCAUCGCUUCAAUCUUUACUGCCUCUUCAUCUUCUUGUUUUGUUUCUAUACCAUUCAACAUCAAGAGUAGUUAAAUUCUCUUUUGUUAGAAUUAUAUGUAAUUACUAAAUUGUCUAAUAUACUUUUACUUUUUGAGACAAAAAAACACUUGAUUUAUCAUAUUUAAACAGUUAAUGAAAGUUGAUCAUUUUUAACAAAUUAUUGUUAUUCAAUGAAAUAGGAUAUGCUCUAAGAUAUUAGAAUAUAACUAUUCAUGUUAAGUAUUGAUGAUAGUGAAGAGAAAAAAAAAUAUUUAAUAAACUUAAUAUAACAAAAGAGUGAAAUAGUAAAUUCCAAUUCCAACGAUAUCUAUAUUAAAGAUUUUUAUCCAAUCCGACAUUUUUCAACUUAAAAGUACCAAAAAUAUUAUGAUCUUUGGCUUUAAAAUUUUACAAUUCUAGUUAUUAAAUUUUGUUUCCUUCGAAUGAAACCAGUACUGUGCUUCGUUAUACAGAUUCGCAUGUAUGAGACACUUAUUUUAAAAGUAUUGAUGACAAUAGUACACUUCUAAAAAAGUCAAUAAUCAUCAACAUCUACCAAAAAGGUAGUUUAUUCCAAGGAUUUUAAUAAUCAGUACGUGACCUACAAUAAGGUAAGCUAAUUAUGUUUCUAUUACUCAUUAACAUAUAUUAACAUAUAUAGAUACAUAGCUUGAAAAUGUAUUUUUUGUCAAAAUUUUGCAUGAGUUAUGGACUUAGAGAUUUUAAUUUCAUUUCUCAUCAAUAUAUGCACUCAAAUCUUAACUAACAUGCAGGAUCAUCUUGAAGCAAUUUAAAGCAUUAUCAUCUACAUUUGGAAUUUAAAUUUUUUGUCGUCAGAUAUUAUAGAAGUCUACCUUUUGGUAUCAGACAUUUUGCAAAUUGUUUUAAGGAAUAUCACAUUUUUACAAUAAUACUUUAGGAUUCAACAUAAUUUUGAAGAAUGCAUUCUUGUGUGAGGGAGGAAGUGAUUCACCUUUAUAAAAUCAUUAUUCAUCUUAAUUCACCAUCUCUGUUAGUUUACAUCUACAAAUUUCUAUCAGUUCACAGCCUUUAAAAAUGUAUGUAUAUAUAUAAAAUAAAAUUAGAAAAUAUAAACAUAAAAUGACAAAAAUACGGUAACUAGUACAGUAGUAUUCAAAAGCACAAUACCACCACCAUUUGUAACUCGUAUCAUCUGUAUCAUUCAAUUUACCCACAGGACAUCUGCUUAAGAACCAUGCCUUGUUCUCUGGGCUACAAAUCACCCACAAGUAUAAAGAAAAUAGGAUGUAAUGCAUCAGAAUUAUAACUACAUCCUUUUACUAAGAAUAAUCAAAUUUAAAUCAUGUUAGUUUUAUUUUACAAUUUUAAAGACUGAUCAGGGAUUAAAAUGAAUUGAUAACUUUACACACUAGAAUAACAUUACGCACAUAAAAAAACUUCAAAAUUAAUUUGUUGGUAAAGUGUACAACGCUUAUGAGUAGUAGUACCAACUAUAAUGUGUUUUUGAUAACCAGCUCAAACUUUUCAGAAAAGGGAAUGCAUGGAAUCAGAAGACAUAAAGGUGAAAUGCAGGAAUUGGAGAAAAUUGGAAGUCCCUCGGGAUGCCAAGUAUCGACUAGGGAGAGGGCAUGGAAUCAAAUGGGUUUCUCAACCUUAAAAGCAACCAGGAUAGCUAGUCGCAAGAGGGAGCCCCAAUAUUGAUUUUUGAUCGCUGAACGCCACGCCCACCCUUCAGAUUACUAAACUUUUCGUCAUUGGGAAUAAUACAUAAUAAUUCUCACAUCACAUUCGAAUAUAUAUAUAUAUAUAUAUAUAUAUAUAUAUAUAUAUAUAUAUUUUACUGAAAGUGUGGACAAUCUAGAAAGUUUUCAUCAAUUAUCAAUCUUUUUCUUGAAUGUUAGCACAAUAAAUCAAUAACCAAUACUUCUAACUAUUGAGAUCUAUUUAAAAAUGAUUUUUAUUCCAUCUAAACUAGCUUGCUAUUAUCAAAGUUUCAAUACGAAUGACAAGUUGCAGAGAACCAAGCAAAACAGAGCAAAAGACAUAACUAACCAAAUUAAAACCUUUCGGUGAGUUUCCCGUUCCUCUCUGAACUGAACACACACAUUCUCCAACUGAAAAACACUAAGUUUAAUUCGAGGCAUGGACUACAGAAAAUCAUAAAAAGGAAGGAGAAGGAAAUGGAGUUAGGGUUAGCUUACUGCAUCGUCGGCGAGGAUUUGUGAGAAGGAGAUUUGUUGUGCCAGGAUGGUAAAGGGUCGUUUCUUUUGAGGCAGUUCUGUGAAAUAUCGAAAACUAGUUAAAUAAAAUUAAUUUCAAAGUAUAAACCUCAACAAGUUGGAGGUUUGCCCAAGUGGAGUUAAGGGAAAGACUUGAUAUCUCCUGCACAUGGGUUUUUUAAGCAUUUUUACCCCUUUCAGAUUUCAGAUAAUAGAUUGAAAAUGUCAUUAUUUUCUUUGUUUUCAAUAUUAAGGUAAAGUUUUUUAAUUUUUUCUUGUAAAUUGUACUAUUUUAAUUUAAAAAUAUUUAUUAUAAAAACUAACAAACUUAGUAAAGAAAAAAUAUUUAAAGAUCCAUUAAAACGUACUCCAAUAGUGUAGUACCAUGACUAAGGCGAACUUCAAUUAACUAAAGGGCUCAUUUCUUUAGAAAGCAGGAAUGAAUACCUAAACCUACAAAACUCAUAACAAUGUAACAUCAUCCAAUUUCAAGUGGGAAAAUGAAAGAAAACUCAUUGAAAUAAAAAAAAAUGUGAAAGAGUUGAAACUGGUAGGAUAUUAAUCAAAAUUCCCUAUGAAAGUUAAUAAUUAACAAAGCAUAAUUUUCUUGUUGGAAAAUAGAACCUACAAAAAUUUCUUGGCUAGAGGAUUAUUAGACACUUAUAUAGGAAUAGAAUAACACAGAGCAGGAAAAAGAACAUAUUCACAGGUUUUUAGCUGACCUUCGUACAUACAGUAGAAACAAGAAAAGGGCUCAGCUGAUCAGUGCUUCUAGUACAUUCUAUCAUGAAGAGUGAUCAAAUAAUGCAGAAAGAUUGAUGAAAACAUAGCUCAAAACAGUGAAAUGUUAUGAAUAACCUACACAAGUUGCACAAACAUCCACACGCAAUCAAAGAUCAUGUCUAUAAAAAAAAUGGAAAAUCUAAAAAGUAAAAGAAGGAGGGAGGAAGAAGGUAACACAUUCCAUCUAUUAGAGAAGUGCAACGGCACCACCUGCACAGUGGAAAAUGGGUGGUGAGAUGUAUUUAUCCAUGUGGGUGGUCUACUCUAGAAUAAAAUAUCCUGCCUAGAACUAAAUGAAUAGGCAAACGAAAGGGAGAGAAGAAAACACAAACCAUAACAACAGAACAAAUCAAUAUCCCUCAUUUGGAGAUUGCUGUUCCUGCUCUUGAUGCUAAUGCCCAUGAGAUCUGCUAGCAUUUAGAGAGUACCCACUGUUACCUUGUCGAUGUCCUCAGCUUUAGUCUUGUUUCCAGGAUCUUGCUCUUCCUUCUCCCUGUUCCACUGCUCAAUUCUGGCGCGCCUCUCCUCACUGCCAUCUCUAACUGGACUGCGGUGUCUCCUCCGUCCAGGACUUCUUCCUCUCCUAUGUUCAGGGCUCGUGCUCCUGUGUCUCCUGCUGCGACUCUCAUGAUGGUGGUCCCUGUCAUCAUACUUUCUGCUAUGACUACGAUGGGACCGAUCCUCAUGGCUCCGAUGCCUGUAAGGACUCCUGCUUCUGCUUCUGCUGUGCUUUCCAAAUAACUGGAGUCUCAAAUCCCUGUAUAUAACAUGGAUCAGACAAAUAUAAGCUUUAAAUUUUAUAGCAUGUUUGGAUUCACACAAGAUGGUCCAGAAUCAAAUUGAAAUAUUCGCUACCAUGAGCAUAGGAUAAUGUUCGCAUGUUCAAGAAUUGAUCCAGUCUAUAAUUCGUUUUGAGAUGAAGCAACUUGGCUUUUGAAUUGGAUUUUUAUACUGACUUUUUCUACUACCCUGUUUUCAGAAUAAGAGCCAUCCGAACUGUGAAGGCUCCUCUAAACACAUUUAAGCAACAAAUACCACCACCUUCAAGGAAAAAAAAGAACCUAAACACCAAAACCAAAGUUUUACCUGCUAAUUCUCUUCAAAUGCAUGAAGUUGCAAUAACCACCGCGGUUGCAAGUAUUCUCCUCAUACUGCCUGCAUGUAGCUUCUCGAAAAUCCGUCACCGGCGAAAAAUCCACGAUAAUUGGCCUACCUGCACCCAUGCAAACCACAAAAGCAGCUCAAUAUUUAAAUUAAGGAGAAAGAAUGACGUGAAUUUGACGAAGCUCAUAAAUACAGAAUGAACGAGAAAUUGCAGAGAGCCAAAAGAAAAGGAGAUAACUAACCAGCAUAAAACCUUCCAGUGAGGUUCCUAACAGCAUUGGCAACAUGCUCCUCCUCUCCGAACUGAACGUACACAUUCCCCACCUGAAAACGACAGCGUCCAAUUCUAACAAAAAUGGACAAAGCGAGGGGUUGGGAUUAGGGUUAGGGUGAGAGAACAUACCAUGUGAUCAGCAAGGUUGUCGCAGACAUUGAGGCUUUCGAUUUCGCCGUACUUGGAGAGCUCCUCGAAGAGAUCCUCAUAGAACUCCUCGAAGUGGUCCUGGAUCUUGCGAGGGUCGAUGGGGUGGCCGUGGGCGUCGACGCCGGGGGUUAUCAUG
rnacentral:lncRNA from 1 species